rnacentral:rRNA from 1 species
CCUACGGGUGGCAGCAGUCGAGAAUCAUUCACAAUGGGGGAAACCCUGAUGGUGCGACGCCGCGUGGGGGAAUGAAGGUCUUCGGAUUGUAAACCCCUGUCAUGUGGGAGCAAAUUAAAAAGAUAGUACCACAAGAGGAAGAGACGGCUAACUCUGUGCCAGCAGCCGCGGUAAUACAGAGGUCUCGAGCGUUGUUCGGAAUCACUGGGCGUAAGGCGUGCGUAGGCUGUUUCGUAAGUCGUGUGUGAAAGGCGCGGGCUCAACCCGCGGACGGCACAUGAUACUGCGAGACUAGAGUAAUGGAGGGGGAACCGGAAUUCUCGGUGUAGCAGUGAAAUGCGUAGAUAUCGAGAGGAACACUCGUGGCGAAGGCGGGUUCCUGGACAUUAACUGACGCUGAGGCACGAAGGCCAGGGGAGCGAAAGGGAUUAGAUACCCGAGUAGUC